UGAAGUGAUUGUUUCUGAUUUAUGAUUUUUUUAUUUGUAGUUUCAUCGAAGUAAAGUGUUUAAUUUAAUUCGUUAGUGAAUUGGAUGGAACUGAUUGUUUAGGGUUUUACAUUUUGUUUUGACUCAUAAACUUUUAUGGUGAUACUAAUGAGGUAGUGGUUAUGUAUUUGGAGUUUGAUUUAUUUUAUUGAGUUGUGAGGGCUUUAUUUUGUCGCUAAAAAAUUUGAUGUACAAAAGGAGACUGUUCAAUUGAAAUUAAUGAAGGGAUUCUGACACUAACUAGUUGAAUGAGUGUAUGGAGCAACCGAGCUUUGAGUUUAGCUUUCAGUUAAAUUUGAUCCAGUUGGGUGUUUAAGGAUCGCUUGUUUGUGUUUUUCUUUCAUUUUUCAUGGUAGUGACAAUAUAGGAACUGCAGUCUAUGAGAUUUUGCAUCCACAACAAAUUGAUUUGUGUGAAAAUUAAAUAUUGCAGACAGUGGCGUAAAAUUUUUUGAAUCUUAAUGCCUAGAUUGGUCUAUAGUAAAUUUAUAGAUUGGCUAGCUCAUGUGUAUGUUUAUUGUGCACAGGGUACAUCAAAAAAGGUGAUUACAAGAGAAGAGUGGGAAAAGAAGCUCAAUGAUGUGAAGAUCAGGAAAGAAGACAUGAAUAAAUUGGUGAUGAACUUUCUCGUCACUGAGGGCUAUGUUGAUGCUGCUGAGAAAUUCCGGAUGGAAUCUGGAACUGAGCCAGAUAUAGAUCUUGCAACAAUCACCGAUCGCAUGGCUGUUAAGAAGGCAGUACAGUGUGGAAAUGUGGAGGAUGCAAUUGAGAAAGUUAAUGAUUUAAAUCCUGAGAUACUGGAUACAAAUCCCCAACUGUUUUUCCAUCUCCAACAGCAGCGGCUGAUAGAAUUAAUUCGAAAUGGAAAAGUAGAAGAGGCUUUGGAGUUUGCUCAGGAGGAGCUUGCACCUAGGGGUGAAGAAAAUCAAAGUUUUUUGGAAGAGUUGGAGAGGACUGUUGCCCUGCUGGCUUUUGAAGAUGUCACCAACUGCCCUGUUGGAGAACUUCUGGACAUUUCACAGCGCCUUAAGACAGCAAGUGAAGUGAAUGCAGCCAUCCUAACUAGUCAGAGUCAUGAAAAAGGUUAGUGUGUUUGUUGAUUAUGAUGUUUUUGAUAUUUUACUUGCCAAAACUGUUGAAUUUUUCUUUAUGUUAAAAUUUACUGAUGAAAAAUCGCUCCAUUUUAAGAAAAUGUGAACUUGUUAUGGAGGAUUAAAUUGGAAGUAGCCUUCUGUAUAAUAUAUAGAGCUUCUAAAAUUCUAUAACUUAGCAGUAGGCGAAUAUUAAAAGAUGCAAUUUGGCUCUUUAAGGGUCUAUGCUAGGAAGCAUAAACUGAACCAGUAUUUCAGCUAUUCCAGAUAUCUGAGGUGCUGAAAUUAUUUUUCUUUGUAGCUGUUGGCAAUAUCUUUGGAGGGCAUGCAUUAUCUUUCUAAAGGUUGCAUAAAUAUUAAAUAAGUGAUUCAAUAUGAGUGUUAUCUGCAAGGUCAGUGAGAUAAUGUUCUGAAAUAGCUUUUUGAUUCUAGUUAAAAGUUGAAAUCUUUUUUUAAGUCACUGUAACUAUUUUUGGAGUCACUUGGAUAUCGUACCUAUAAGGACUGACCAAUUGGUGUUUCCCCUUCACUCAAUAGUAGGAAACCAUAAAAGUUGGUCUUUCAGUUAAAAUGGUCAGCAAUGCCUUUAUUCUUUUCUUGGAGGUGGAUUUGAAGGAUGUAGCCAAGGGAAGAGCUUCCUUCUACAGAUACAUUUGGUAGUUCAUAAUUAAUUUUGAACUUGGAGGAAAAAGAGCUUUUAGAAAAAUUACUGAGCAGGCCUUUUUCAUUUUUCUCUUUGACAAUAUUUGGCAAACUCUGAGAAGGACAAUGUCAUAAAUAAAGCAACUGCAUUUGGUAUCUGAUCAUUGUAUAUUUCUUUGAUGUUCUGCUACAAUGUUGUUUCUUUAUUCUAUUUGAGAAGGCUUAUUUACUUUACUCGAUCAUCUUUCUGUUUAUAUAUAUACUAAAAAGAAAUUGAUGCAAGUGUUGUUCAUAAUUUUUUUUUACUGUUUUGGCAUACUAAAGAUCCAAAGCUUCCAAGUUUGUUAAAAAUGUUGAUAUGGGCUCAGAACCAACUUGAUGAGAAAGCUGCAUAUCCUCGAAUAAGCAACUUAUCUACUGCCAUGCUUGAAGACCCUGCAGCUUGAAAGGCUAUGAGGUGUUGUGGACGAUUUGGGUUGUCUCUAGAAUGAACACAUAGAAUUGGAUGGAAUCAUUAAAUUUGUGUAUUGUGAUUACAGAAUGACUCUGGACGGUUAUUUGUUGGAUGGUGUGAGAAUUUGGUUGGUGCUUAUUCUCUUCCUCUUCAUCUGAAAUGUUUAAUGGCCUAAUCUCGUGUAAUUGAUUUUUUUAUUAUUUUUUUUUAUGCAAUCUGCUUUAUUUGAAAAUUUUACAUGUUAAAUCGACAUAAUAUCUGUGGGCAAAAGAAAGAGUACUACAAAU
rnacentral:misc_RNA from 1 species